rnacentral:rRNA from 1 species
UACGAAGGGGGCUAGCGUUGCUCGGAAUCACUGGGCGUAAAGGGUGCGUAGGUGGCGCUGUAAGUCGGGUGUGAAAUUUCGGAGCUUAACUCCGAAACUGCAUUCGAUACUGCGGUGCUCGAGGACUGGAGAGGAGACUGGAAUUCCUGGUGUAGCGGUGAAAUGCGCAGAUAUCAGGAGGAACACCGGUGGCGAAGGCGGGUCUCUGGGCCGAUAUCGACGCUGAGGAGCGAAAGCGUGGGGAGCGAACAGG